AUGCAAGUCCUUCCCACAGGCUGCAGUUCUUCACGAACUGCCCCACUGUGGGUCCCUUCCAUAGGGUGCAGUCCUACAGAGAGGAACUGCUCCAGUGUGGGUCCCUUGCAGGGUCACAAGUCCUGCUGGCAAACCUGCUCCAAUGUGGGGUCCUGGCUCCACAAAGUCACAGGUCCUGCCAAGAGCCUGCCCCAGCACUGGCUUCCAGUGGGGUUACAGCCUUCAUCAGGCAUCUACCUGCUCCACCAUGGGGUCCUCCCCAGGCUGCAGGUAUCUGCUCUAUGGAAUUCCCACAGGCUGCAGUUCUUCACGAACUGCCCCACUGUGGGUCCCUUCCAUAGGGUGCAGUCCUACAGAGAGGAACUGCUCCAGUGUGGGUCCCUUGCAGGGUCACAAGUCCUGCUGGCAAACCUGCUCCAAUGUGGGGUCCUGGCUCCACAAAGUCACAGGUCCUGCCAAGAGCCUGCCCCCGCCCUGGCUUCCAGUGGGGUUACAGCCUUCAUCAGGCAUCUACCUGCUACACCAUGGGGUCCUCCCCAGGCUGCAGGUAUCUGCUCUAUGGAAACCUCCAUGGGCUGCAGGGGGACAACCUGCGUCAGCAUGGUCUUCAUCAUGGGCUGCAGGGGAAUCUCUGCUCCAGUGCCUGAAGCAUCUCCUCCCCCCUUCUUGACUGACCACGGUGUCUGUAGAGCUGUUGCUCUCACUCCUCUCAACCAUCAAAGGCACUCUGGCAGGAUGUUCUUCUGUACCACAACACACCUACAGCCCGUGUUACAUGAACAGAGAAGAGAGAAGAGAGUAAGGAAAGCUACAGAGGUGGGAGAAGAAACAAGCCCCAGGCAGUGGGUGUCAGGAGUGUUCUGCUGUUCCUUCACUAUCACGUGGCCUAGAAGUGUGUUAAUUGUGCCCCUGUGCAUCAGUAGGAACAAGGAGGAGAGGCCAGAGGGUGCCCAAAACCACGACACACAAGUAACAAGGAGAGAUGACAGUUCUGUUGAAUAUUUUAAUAUCUGCAUUGCCUUCAUAGCGCAAUUAAAGCAAUCUUUAAAAUUCACUUAUUACAAAUGUUUGUCAAGUCUAUUUUUCCCCAGAAACAUUUUUUUUUUCUUACUUCCUUGCACAUACACCCAAACACACUAUAAAAACCUCAUUCAUAACAUCAAAGGAAGGGCAAUCAUCAUUCAUGUAAACAUCUUUCUUAGAGUUAUCCAUUUUUUUUUUUUUAAAAGUCAUGAAUAA
rnacentral:lncRNA from 1 species